rnacentral:rRNA from 1 species
CCUACGGGAGGCAGCAGUAAGGAAUCUUGCGCAAUGGGCGAAAGCCUGACGCAGCGACGCCGCGUGGGCGAUGAAGGCCUUCGGGUUGUAAAGCCCUUUUCUGGGGGACGAGGAAGGACGGUACCUCCGGAAUAAGCCCCGGCCAACUACGUGCCAGCAGCCGCGGUAAUACGUAGGGGGCGAGCGUUGUCCGGAAUCACUGGGCGUAAAGCGUCCGUAGGCGGCCUGGUAAGUUGGGUGUGAAAGGUUGAAGCUCAACUUCAAGAUUGCACCCAAUACUGCCAGGCUUGAGUGUCGGAGAGGAGAAUGGAACUACCAGUGUAGCGGUGAAAUGCGUUGAUAUUGGUAGGAAUACCAGUGGCGAAGGCGGUUCUCUGGACGACAACUGACGCUGAGGGACGAAAGCCAGGGGAGCGAACGGGAUUAGAUACCCUUGUAGU